rnacentral:rRNA from 1 species
AGAGUUUGAUCAUGGCUCAGGACGAACGCUGGCGGCGUGCUUAACACAUGCAAGUGGCGCGACGAACCGGGCUUCGGCCCGGGGCAGAGCCGCGAACGGGUGAGUAACACGUGGGUUACGUGCCCCGAUGACCGGGACAACCCGAGGAAACUCGGGCUAAUACCGGAUGUGCCCGCAAGGGUAAAGGUAGCUUCGGCCUCCGCAUCGGGAUCGGCCCGCGGCCCAUUAGCUUGUUGGUGAGGUAACGGCUCACCAAGGCGACGAUGGGUAGCUGGUCUGAGAGGACGAUCAGCCACACUGGGACUGAGACACGGCCCAGACUCCUACGGGAGGCAGCAGUGGGGAAUCUUGCGCAAUGCGCGAAAGCGUGACGCAGCAACGCCGCGUGAGGGAAGACGGCCUUCGGGUUGUAAACCUCUUUCAGUUGGGACGAAGCUCCAGCCGUUAAUAGCGGUUUGGAGUGACGGUACCUUCACAAGAAGCCCCGGCUAACUACGUGCCAGCAGCCGCGGUAAUAC